GCGCUCGCGGCAUCCCCGUAACAGCAUGUGGGAACGUCGGACGAGAGAGGCGCGGCAGUGUCCACAGGCAGCUGCGGUGGGGCCGCGGCCAGUGCGGUCGUAUGGCCUGGGGCCGGCUUCCUCAGCGGCCCGCUGGCCUCCAGGCUCGCCCCCGCCGGCCUGGGUCCGCCCCGGCGCCCCACCCCUCGGCCUCACAGCGGAGGCUCUGCGGACCCGCGAAGCCAGAUAUGGCCUCCCCCAGCGCACUGUUCGGGCCAGCCACGUGGUCAGCCCUUCCCCGGAGGCCGGGCCGGCGGGAGGGCUGCGGGUUGGGCGAGCUGCUCAUCUUCCCCGAGCGGAGUCGGCCGCGGGCCAGUCUUCCACUUCAGGGGAGGGACCCCCGGCCCAGCCCUCCCGCCUGGGCCGCCUCAUCUGUUGCCAAAACAAAGGGGAUUUGGCGAUGGAGGCUUUGUUGGAAGGAAUACAAAAUCGGGGACAUGAUGGGGGAUUUUUGACAUCCUGUGAAGCAGAACUACAGGAGCUCAUGAAACAGAUUGACAUAAUGGUAGCUCAUAAAAAAUCUGAGUGGGAAGGACAGACACAUGUUCUAGAAACUUGCUUGGACAACCGUGAUCGGGAACUUAAGGCUCUCAGGAGUCAGGUUGGAAUGUUGCGUCAGCAGGUUGAAGAACAUGAAAAAGUCAAGCAAGAGAUGGCCAUAGAGUAUAAGCUGGAGUUAAAGAACCUACAUGAAGAAUUAGGCAGACUGAAGAGAAGCUAUGAAAAGCUACAGAGAAAACAUGUAAGAGACUUCAGAGGAAAUGCCAGAAAUCACAGGGAAGAUCGGUCUGAAAUUGAGAGAUUAACUGGAAAAAUAGAGGAAUUUCGUCAGAAAUCACUGGACUGGGAGAAGCAGCGCUUGAUUUAUCAGCAACAGGUAUCUUCUCUGGAGGCUCAAAGGAAGGCUCUGGCUGAACAAUCAGAGAUAAUUCAGGCUCAGCUUGCCAAUCGGAAACAAAAAUUAGAGUCUGUGGAGCUGUCCAGCCAAUCGGAAAUUCAGCACCUGAGCAGUAAGCUGGAGCGGGCCAAUGACACCAUCUGUGCCAAUGAGUUGGAAAUAGAGCGCCUCACCAUGAGGGUCAAUGACUUGGUUGGAACCAAUAUGACUAUUAUGCAAGACCAGCAGCAAAAAGAAGAAAAAUUGAGGGAAUCUGAAAAACUGUUAGAGGUUCUGCAAGAAGAAAAGAGAGAAUUGAAGGCAGCUCUUCAGACUCAAGAAAAUUUCAUGUGUGAGACAAGAAUACAAAAGGAGAAGCUACAAGCAAAAUUAAAGGCAACUGACACUCAACACACAGUAGAGACCAUAAGGUCACUGGAGGAGUCUCAGGCAGAAAGGAGGUAUGCCUCUCAAGAGCAGGGAGACUUAGAGAAUGUGCUCUCCCGACUGGAUUUUACCCACACUAGUGAAGAACUUCUGCAGGCAGAAGUGACUCGUCUGGAAGUCAGCUUGGAAUCUGUGAGUACGACAUGUAAACAGCUGAGCCAAGAGCUAAUGGAAAAAUAUGAAGAACUAAAGAAGAUGGAAGUGCAUAACAAUGAGUACAGGGCAGAGAUUAAGAAGUUGAAAGAACAGAUUUUGCAGGCUGAACAGAGUUACAGUUCUGUACUAGAGGGAAUGAAGAUGGAGAUCUCCCAGCUAACUCGAGAGUUACAUCAGCGAGAUAUCACUAUUGCUUCCACCAAAAGUUCUUCCUGUGACAUGGAGAAGCAACUCAAAGCAGAGAUGCAAAAGGCAGAAGAAAAAGCAGUAGAGCACAAGGAGAUUUUGGCUCAGUUGGAGUCACUCAAGUUAGAAAAUCAUCGUCUUUCUGAAAUGGUGAUGAAAUUGGAAUUGGGUUUACAUGAGGCAAAAGAGGUUUCACUAGCAGACCUCCAGGAGAAUUAUACUGAGGCAUUAAAUAAAUUAGUGUCUGAAAAUCAACAACUACAGAAAGAUUUGAUGGAUACCAGAGCUCAGCUGGAGAUUUCUACUCAGAUUUGCAAAAAAAACCAGGACAGGAUCUUUAAACCAACACACAGCAGAGUACCUGAGUUCAAGAACAUGGAGUUCAAGCCAGCCAGUGGCCAGCGCAAGCAUGAUGGGAUGGAGGCUGAGCACUACAAAGCAGGUCUUCAUUCUACGCAAGGACAAGCGUUGGAUAGCGUAGAGGCUGUGUCCUGGGGCCUCACCCCGCCGAGUCAUCAGAUCAGCCCUUGCUGCUCCACCAUCUCUCUGCCUUCUAACUUUCUGUGCAAAACUCACUCUUUGCCUUCAGUGCUAGAUACAAAUGAAACCAAUUUUUCUGACACUGUUUCUGAAAGUAUAAAUGACCAAGAAGACUUUAUAUAUUCGGUAUGGAGAGUUGCUGAGCUUACUAGUGUAUUAAGUUUAUUUAGUUUGAUUUUAUUUUUUAUUUUAAGGUGGAGCAGUAUUCCCCCUCCCACCCCCCUUACUGGUUCUCUCUCUUAAGCAGCCUUUGUUAUCCUCAAUUAUUUCUGUCUUAAGGUUUUGCUUGUGAAGACACUGUUGUCCACGACUACUUUUCAAAAUGCAUCUUAAGAAAUAUAACAUAAGUUAUAGGUAUUCAUUUCUUUUUAGCCUGAAUGGGAAAUUCUAUUGCUGCCUUUUUCAGAGAGGGUCAAUUUUGUGUUGGGAUGAUUGGUUCAAGGAAUAUCUCUGCCUGCCAAGAUAGUCCUGGGGCAUAGACAGUGGGGAAGGAGAAAAGGAACGGUUGGAAAGGGAAAGAGGUGGGUAGAGGCGGGGGAAGGAGUUGCAUCUGACGUGUCUAGAACAUGGACUGGGUGCCACACAGUGGUGGCCCUGGUGUCAGAGGCUGCCUUUCCAUGUGGACUGGCCCCUUGUUCUCACAGCUGCUGUGAGGACUCCACUCCACCAUCUUUUCUUUACCUUCUGUGCUGAAGCACUCGCCUCUGGCCAUUCAUUCCCAUCAACCUCCCGUGGUCGUAUACCUGAGAAAGUUCAGUAUUUUUGACUUUUUAAUGUGCCAACAAGUCCGUGGGAAGGUUUUCUUUUAGUUGUCAAAAUAUAUGUAAUAUAUGUAUUUCUGAAAUCCAAAAAAGUCCUGACAACUAACUUUCUUCCUAAGUUUGUCAGCAAAACUUAUUUGGCGCUGAAACCUCACCUGGCCUGAACUGAGCUGAUGUGAUACGUCCCUUGCCUCUGUCUCCUCUUGGUUCAAUAGCCACAAGAUUUUUGGAAGAGGAGGAACUGAGGUCUCAUCACAUUCUAGAGCGCCUGGAUGCGCAUAUUGAAGAACUAAAAAGAGAG